UGAAAAAAAAGUUGAAACUAUCUGAUAUCAAAGUAAUAAAAAAUAUUUAGAGUUUUACAGCUACUUUACUACGCCCCAGUUAAAUAUUAUUAACCGAGUGCGCAACAAUGACAGAAUUAAGAAAACCAUCAAAAUAGUAUGAUACUCCGUAUAAUAUUGGAAGAGUCAACUCGAACGCUUAUAGCUGAUCUGAACUGAACUGCACGAGGCAUUGUAAAAUGUGUACACAAGAUUUUUGUAUUUCUUGAAAUGACAUAUUAUCUUCUAUUAUUAUUGUCAUAAAUGAUAUAGUUAUUGUUGUCAUAAAUUGUUGUCAUAAAUAGUAUAAUUAUUGAAUAUACUUAUAUAAAUAGUGUUGCAUUGAUUUUUGACAGGCUGAUAAUUUUAUACAAGCUAAAGACGACCAUUUUUUAAAUAUAAUUUUACUUUAGUGCUCUACCAACAAUCAUAAAUUUACUUUAUCUACAAUAAAAUAUGGUUUUAACUUAAAGUAAACUUUUGUCAUUUAAACUUUACAAUGUUGAUCAUUACCUAAUAGUGUAAAAAAAAAAUUAGUACGUCGCAAUCAAGGAUCAGUGUCAAGUAAUGUGUUUUGCAUACUUAUGUAUUUUUUGGGUGUUCUGUGUAUUAAAACUGAAACAUAUCAUCUUUAUAUAAUAAUACGGAACUCAAUAGUAGUAGUUCCCUUUCGAGCACGUUUGACACAAAACCCAACGCAGCCAUUGCAACCGAGGUACUGGCGAGGAAGAGUCGCAGCACCUUUUUAUAAGAAAACAUUAACGAAAGUGUGUGCUAAUAACUAACUUACGUAAACUUCAAAAUGUGAAAUGUCAAAACAUACUAAAACAUGUAUCAAGUUUUUAAGUUUUACUUUCACUUGAAAACUGCAUUGCGGCAACAUCUUAAUUUUGAUCGAUGGUCGUUUUAUAAAGACUUUUAUUUACUAUAUAUUUUUAAAAUUUGUUCACUCGUUCAUAGUGGCAUAGCUUAGUGGUCAGCUCGCUGGCAGCUGACCUGAAGAGCCAUGGUUCGAAUCCUACCUAUGGCAUGUUUUCUUUUUAAAUUCAUUUUCGAUUUUUUUAAAGUACGAAAUAAAGAUUAUGUAUAGAGAUUAUAUACUUAACAAAUGUAAAAAUAUUUUACACUUAAACAAACGAAAGGAAGAGAAUUUUUAAAGAAAGCUUAAAA
rnacentral:lncRNA from 1 species